CUCUUAGAUGUUCUGGGCAGCACGCGCGCUACAAUGGUCUUCGCAAACGGAUGCAUUCUCGAAGGAGAAUGCCAAUCUUGGAAUCUAUGCCUUGGUCGGGACAGUUGCUUGCAAUUUUUCGACUCGAACCAGGAAUUCCUUGUAAUCGUGAUUCAUCACAUCACGAUGAAUACGUCCCUGCCCUUUGUACACACCGCCCGUCGCUCCUACCGAUCGAAGAGUUAGGUGAAUUGUUUUGAUCGAUAAGAUUUGACUAUGGUCAACUCUCGUUGUGAAAUUCUGUGAAUCUGACUGUUUAGAGGAAGGAAAAGUCGUAACA
rnacentral:rRNA from 1 species